CAGAUUAAUCAAAUCAAAGCAGAGACUUGGAGAGAACAUUUCCGAGGUAAAAUCUUAAUCUCAAAAAAGAGACUAUUAAUCUUACAUCUAGAGCCUGAGACUCCUAACUUCAGUUUCCCAGGACUUUAUGGCUUUGCAAACAAAUAAGAGAAAGAUUUGAUUCAUCGUUUACAUUGUUUAUUUCUCACGCAGAUUGCCUAUGAAACCAAUGAUGUGUUCUCAGACUCACUAGUAUUUAUCCGUAUAUUUUAAGAACAUUGGUAGAAUCAUGUAUGGUUUACCUUCAGCUUCCGCCUGGAAAUAAAACUACUUUAAUCAUUCAGAGCAUGAUGUUUGGGACUGCAGCCUCUCAGACAGAUCAACUGGGUUGUAAGCCCAUCUCUAACACUUGCAGACUCUAACCUAAGGGUGAAUAUUGGUAAAAAUCUGUCUAUAUAAAGAAAUAAACCCCUGAGGAUGUCCAAGUAUCACUUU
rnacentral:lncRNA from 10 species